CCUACGGGUGGCAGCAGUGAGGAAUAUUGGUCAAUGGGCGGGAGCCUGAACCAGCCAAGUCGCGUGAGGGAAGACGGUCCUAUGGAUUGUAAACCUCUUUAGGCGGGGAGCAAUGCCGGGCACGUGUGCCCGGAGGGAGAGUACCCGCAGAAUAAGCAUCGGCUAACUCCGUGCCAGCAGCCGCGGUAAUACGGAGGAUGCGAGCGUUAUCCGGAUUUAUGGGGUUUAAAGGGUGCGUAGGCGGAUUUUUAAGUCAGCGGUAAAAUGUCCGGGCUCAAACCGGGCCGGCCGUUGAAACGGGUGAUCUUGAUUGGGCGAGCAGUAUGCUGAAUGCGUGGUGUAGCGGUGAGAUGCAUAGAUAUCACGCAGAACUUCGAUUGCGAAGGCAGCAUACCGGCGCCCGACUGACGCUGAGGCACGAAAGCGUGGUGAUCGAACAGGAUUAGAUACCCUUGUAGUC
rnacentral:rRNA from 1 species